AUGGGGAUGCGUCCGAUUAGCUUGACGGCGGGGUAACGGCCCACCGUGGCAUCGAUCGGUAGGGGUUCUGAGAGGAAGGUCCCCCACAUUGGAACUGAGACACGGUCCAAACUCCUACGGGAGGCAGCAGUGAGGAAUAUUGGUCAAUGGGCGGAAGCCUGAACCAGCCAAGUAGCGUGAAGGACGACUGCCUAUGGGUUGUAAACUUCUUUUAUGCGGGGAUAGGUACCGCAUGAAUAAGGACCGGCUAAUUCCGUGCCAGCAGCCGCGGUAAUACGGAAGGUCCAGGCGUUAUCCGGAUUCAUUGGGUUUAAAGGGAGCGUAGGCCGCCUUUUAAGCGUGUUGUGAAAUGUAGGGGCUCAACCCCUGCACUGCAGCGCGAACUGGAGGGCUUGAGUACACACAAAGUAGGCGGAAUUCAUGGUGUAGCGGUGAAAUGCUUAGAUAUCAUGAAGAACCCCGAUUGCGAAGGCAGCUUACUGGAGUGUAACUGACGCUGAAGCUCGAAAGCGCGGGUAUCGAACAGGAUUAGAUACCCUGGUAGUCCGCGCGGUAAACGAUGGAUGCCCGCUGUUUGAGC
rnacentral:rRNA from 1 species